rnacentral:rRNA from 1 species
CCCAUUAAAGCGGUACGCGAGCUGGGUUCAGAACGUCGUGAGACAGUUCGGUCCCUAUCCGUCGUGGGCGUAGGAAAUUUGAGAGGAGCUGUCCUUAGUACGAGAGGACCGGGAUGGACAUACCUCUGGUGUACCAGUUGUCGUGCCAACGGCAUAGCUGGGUAGCUAUGUGUGGACGGGAUAAGUGCUGAAAGCAUCUAAGCAUGAAGCCCCCCUCAAGAUGAGAUUUCCCAACUUCGGUUAUAAGAUCCCUCAAAGAUGAUGAGGUUAAUAGGUUCGAGGUGGAAGCAUGGUGACAUGUGGAGCUGACGAAUACUAAUCGAUCGAAGACUUAAUCAA